AGAGUUUGAUCCUGGCUCAGGAUGAACGCUAGCUACAGGCUUAACACAUGCAAGUCGCGGGGCAUCAUGGUGAUUGCUUGCAAUUACUGAUGGCGACCGGCGCACGGGUGAGUAACGCGUAUCCAACCUACCCUUUACUACGGGAUAACCCGGCGAAAGUCGGACUAAUACCGUAUGUAGUCCAUUGACGGCAUCCGAUAUGGACCAAAGGCUUAGCGGUAAAGGAUGGGGAUGCGUCCGAUUAGCUUGACGGCGGGGUAACGGCCCACCGUGGCCACGAUCGGUAGGGGUUCUGAGAGGAAGGUCCCCCACACUGGAACUGAGACACGGUCCAGACUCCUACGGGAGGCAGCAGUGAGGAAUAUUGGUCAAUGGGCGUAAGCCUGAACCAGCCAAGUAGCGUGCAGGAUGACGGCCCUAUGGGUUGUAAACUGCUUUUGUAUGGGGAUAAAGUUAGGGACGUGUCCCUAUUUGCAGGUACCAUACGAAUAAGGACCGGCUAAUUCCGUGCCAGCAGCCGCGGUAAUACGGAAGGUCCAGGCGUUAUCCGGAUUUAUUGGGUUUAAAGGGAGCGUAGGCUGGAGAUUAAGUGUGUUGUGAAAUGUAGACGCUCAACGUCUGACUUGCAGCGCAUACUGGUUUCCUUGAGUACGCACAACGUUGGCGGAAUUCGUCGUGUAGCGGUGAAAUGCUUAGAUAUGACGAAGAACUCCGAUUGCGAAGGCAGCUGACGGGAGCGCAACUGACGCUUAAGCUCGAAGGUGCGGGUAUCGAACAGGAUUAGAUACCCUGGUAGUCCGCACAGUAAACGAUGGAUGCUCGCUGUUGGCCUUUAAUGGUCAGUGGCUUAGCGAAAGCGUUAAGCAUCCCACCUGGGGAGUACGCCGGCAACGGUGAAACUCAAAGGAAUUGACGGGGGCCCG
rnacentral:rRNA from 1 species